rnacentral:rRNA from 1 species
AUUGAACGCUGGCGGCAUGCCUUACACAUGCAAGUCGAACGGCAGCACGGGAGCAAUCCUGGUGGCGAGUGGCGAACGGGUGAGUAAUAUAUCGGAACGUGCCCAGUCUGGGGGAUAACGUAGCGAAAGCUACGCUAAUACCGCAUACGAUCUAUGGAUGAAAGCGGGGGAUCGCAAGACCUCGCGCGAUUGGAGCGGCCGAUAUCAGAUUAGGUAGUUGGUGAGGUAAAGGACUCACCAAGCCGACGAUCUGUAGCUGGUCUGAGAGGACGACCAGCCACACUGGGACUGAGACACGGCCCAGACUCCUACGGGAGGCAGGC